rnacentral:rRNA from 1 species
GAGAGGACCGGGAUGGACAUACCUCUGGUGUACCAGUUGUCGUGCCAACGGCAUAGCUGGGUAGCUAUGUGUGGACGGGAUAAGUGCUGAAAGCAUCUAAGCAUGAAGCCCCCCUCAAGAUGAGAUUUCCCAACUUCGGUUAUAAGAUCCCUCAAAGAUGAUGAGGUUAAUAGGUUCGAGGUGGAAGCAUGGUGACAUGUGGAGCUGACGAAUACUAAUCGAUCGAAGACUUAAUCAAAA